rnacentral:sRNA from 1 species
GUUUUGCGUGAGUGAUGGUAGUGGAAAUCCUCCCUUUUUUGGGAGAUUGAGAACGUACAGCACGACCUCAC